AGGCGCCUGUGUAUCAAUAAAUCGCCUCUUGCUUUUGCAGCCAGUGCCUCGUGCGUCUUUCUUGGACAGGGAAUCGGCGGGUCUUUCAUUUGGCGAGCCAGCCAGGAGAACUCCUGUAACCCCAUCCGGAUCCCUGCCCGAGGAACUCCCGACAUCACUGGGAGGUCGGAGACACCGUCUGGGUACGCAGGCACCAGAGCAAGAACCUCGAACCGCGGUGGAAAGGACCCUACACCAUUCUGCUGACCACUCCCACUGCAAUCAAAGUGGACGGCAUCACCGCUUGGAUCCACGCCUCCCACGUGAAAGCUGCACAUCCACAGGAGCCCACAGACGCCACCCCAGAGCCUGAAUGGAAAUUGCAACGCACCCAGAACCCGCUAAAGAUAAGACUUACCCGCUGUUGAUUUUUCUUGCUCUGUGCUCUAUCUUCCCCAUAUCAGUUGCUAGGCACCAACUCUAUGAUCCCAAUCGGCCUAUACGCCAGACAUGGCAAAUACUAUCGGGGGCGGGAGGCAUAAUUUGGGAAAAAAACAUCCACAAAGUACCCCCUCUGGGCUUGGUGGCCUAACCUGGAGCCAGAUCUUUGUCACAUACUGGCCGGGUCAGAAGACUUUGAUAUUCCAACUACUGACCCAGCUAAACCGAGUGGGCCAGAAGUGUGCAUCUCCAGCGGGGGCUGCCCUUGCUCACGCUAUCCGGCAGGAUGUAGGGACCCAAGGGCUCGGGCAGCUCUAAGAAAAAAAAAAAAUCAUUCUAUGUAUGCCCCAGGGACGGGAGAACUAAGUCGCAAGCACGUAAAUGUGGGCAACAUGAAAGUUAUUAUUGUAAGGCUUGGGGAUGUGAAACUACGGGGGAUGCAUACUGGAACCCUAGCUCAUCCAGGGAUUUGAUCCAAGUGAAAAGAGAAAAGCAAAAUGAGCCCCCACUCUCUACAGACUAUUGUAAAAGUACACCUGGGACAGUCAACACCUUAUGGUAUGGGGACGGGCCAUGCACCAUGUUUGCCUGCAACCCCUUAAACAUUACCUUUACUAAGGCAGGCAGAACAUCAAAAGAUUGGUUACAAGGGAAGCUAUGGGGACUACGGGUAUAUCAUCAGACUGCAUAUGACCCGGGGGUCCUAUUCAAAAUCAGGUUAACUAUAAAAGUUGACCCCCAGCCGAUAGGCCCUAACAAGAUACUCCAAGACCAAAAGGCUCCUCCUCCAAAAAAAA